rnacentral:tRNA from 1 species
CGGGCUGUAGCGCAGUUUGGUAGCGCGUUUGACUGGGGGUCAAAAGGUCGCAGGUUCAAAUCCUGUCAGCCCGA